GCCAGACUCCUAGGGAGGCAGCAGUGAGGAAUAUUGGUCAAUGGGCGCGAGCCUGAACCAGCCAAGUAGCGUGAAGGAUGACGGCCCUACGGGUUGUAAACUUCUUUUAUAAAGGAAUAAAGUGAGGCACGUGUGCCUUUUUGUAUGUACUUUAUGAAUAAGGAUCGGCUAACUCCGUGCCAGCAGCCGCGGUAAUACGGAGGAUCCGAGCGUUAUCCGGAUUUAUUGGGUUUAAAGGGAGCGUAGAUGGGUUGUUAAGUCAGUUGUGAAAGUUUGCGGCUCAACCGUAAAAUUGCAAUUGAUACUGGCAGUCUUGGGUACAGUUGAGGUAGGCGGAAUUCGUGGUGUAGCGGUGAAAUGCAUAGAUAUCACGCAGAACUCCGAUCGCGAAGGCAGCCUACCGGCGUGCUACUGACGCUCAUGCACGAAAGCGUGGGUAUCGAACAGGAUUAGAUACCCCAGUAC
rnacentral:rRNA from 1 species